rnacentral:tRNA from 1 species
CGGAGCAUGGUGUCAACGGCUAGCACGUGCGGUUUGGGACCGUAUAGUCUGGGUUCGAAUCCCGGUGCUCCGA